UGUGACGUAAACGCGUAACACAAUCACGCGGAGGGCGCAAUUGUGCUGUCGAACGGUAUCGGUUUCUACAAGUCGCAACUGGUUUCACGUUGAUCGAGAUGCAAUACUCGUAAUCGGAAACCAAGAGAAAUCAUAGUCGUUUAAAUCGCAUGCGCGGCACAGAGGGAAUUAGAGUGAACCGUAAGACGCGGGAUCGCGAACUCGUUUAACGUAAAUCGUAAAGAAAGAAAUCAUCGAAUCGAUAGCCGUGAGAAGCAGGGAGAGGUUCAGACAAAAGAAACAGUUUUCGCGAACGCGUCACGUUCCAGGCACGCGAAUGAUUCUCAUUGUUGCAACGACGUCGAAUCGAUUGGAGAAAUUAGAACGGCAAAAGAUGGGCAAAAGUCUAGACUUGGAAUAAAUCUGAAGUUUGCUGACGUGUUUGUCUUGUUUCCUCUGUUGAACAUUUUCCAAAAACGUGUCCUUGUAACCUGGCGUGGAUGUCAGCCAAAUUUUUGUAAAAGCAUUCACGUGGCGAGUUCAUGACCAAGGAAAUGAAGCUUAGAAAUAGAAUAUCUCGGGACGUACCACGCUCGACAAGCUAUAUAGCCAUCCAACAGGAAAUAAUUCGAAGAUCAAACGCGACUACUUACGCGUGUACUUUUACGUUGUUGCGUCUUCUAACACGUGGUAAAAGUUUUGAAAUUGUACAUGGCGCGCAUUAGUACCGCGUUUGGUAUUCUACGUACUGCGAAAUAUUUUAUUUGUUUAGUCCAGUAAAGUUCUCUGUGCAUUCGGAUUCUCGAUCUUUUAUCGAUAUAUUUGUUUAGACUAGAGUUAUAAACGAUCGUAGAGACACGGAAUUAAUUUCUACACCUAAUGCAAUAUUAGCUAAGCGACUAAACAUGUUUAUCAAUAAUUUUCAACCGAGGUGUACAAAUACGUAUGCUCCAAAACCGUGAAUAAGGAGACAAAGAGAAAGUAAGGUGCGCAAAGUUUCGUCCGCAAAAACUGACAAUGGUGAUUGCAAGAUGUC